rnacentral:rRNA from 1 species
GUGACGAAGCGACGCCGCGUGUGGGAAGAAGGCCUUCGGGUUGUAAACCACUGUCGGGAGUUAGGAAAUGUAAGGGUGUUAAUAGUAUCCUUACUUGACUAAGGCUCCGGAGGAAGCCACGGCUAACUCUGUGCCAGCAGCCGCGGUAAUACAGAGGCGGCAAGCGUUGUUCGGAAUUAUUGGGCGUAAAGAGCACGUAGGCGGCCUUGUAAGUCAGUUGUGAAAGCCUUCUGCUUAACGGAAGAACAGCAGCUGAUACUGCAAGGCUAGAGUGCGGAAGGGGAGAGUGGAACUUCUGGUGGAGCGGUGAAAUGCGUAGAUAUCAGAAGGAACACUGGCGGCGAAGGCGACUCUCUGGUCCGUAACUGACGCUGAGUGUGCGAAAGCUAGGGGAGCAAACGGGAUUAGAUACCCCGGUAGUCCUAGCCGUAAACGAU